rnacentral:sRNA from 1 species
UUUAUUUGUUAACGCUGGCUGUGGAAACCCCAGUUCUUGGGGGGAGAAACAGGACUUUUUACAUACAAUAGGAGCUGCAAAAGCAAAAAGAAUAUCUUCUAAAGAUUUCUUUAUAUAUUUAAAAACCCACAACUAAAAAUGGAGGCAAAGCUGACAUGAACCUUUUGUCGUGGGACUUCAGGCCACAUUGGCUUGAAGGCAUUCGUUUCCUUCUGGGGUGGGGACGGGCCGUCAUGGCAGGCUUGUUCCCGUGGCUCUGAGCGAGGCCUCUUCCUGCUGGGCUCCCAGACUCCUGCAUCCAGGCCCGCACCUUCUCGGCUUCUGGUUUUUCUUUCUUUCUUUUUGGUAGAACACAACAUCUACCAUUCAGUUAAACCUUCUUUAUCUCCUCCUCUGGCAUCCAUUUUUCCAAAG